UUGGAUAGAGUCAUUAUGGGCCAAGAAUUCUACAGUUUUUGAUGCUAUGCUGUAAUAUUUCUUCCUCAAGGAAGUCAACUAUGAUUGACCCUCAUUUUGACAGUGUUUAAAGGUGGCAGACUCUUUAAGAAAUGAGGUCCCAUGGCUUCCAGUAGUUGGAAGAGACAACAGGCACACAUCCAUCAUGUCCAGAUUCCCGCUGUGGAGAUGGUCUUGUAGAUUUUUCUUUCUGUGCUGGCCUGGAACCUUGAUCCUCCCAAUGCCAGUUUUCCAUGUGGCUCUUGUAUAUGAGAAAAUAAAGCACUGCUGCAGAAAAGAAAAGUUACCCCACGGCUCCAGAUUGCUUUUCAUUGCAACAAGACGAUACUGAAA